AGCGAACGCUGGCGGCAGGCCUAACACAUGCAAGUCGAACGAACUCUUCGGAAUUAGUGGCGGACGGGGGAGUAACACGUGGGAACGUGCCUUUAGGUUCGGAAUAACUCAGGGAAACUUGUGCUAAUACCGAAUGUGCCCUUCGGGGGAAAGAUUUAUCGCCUUUAGAGCGGCCCGCGUCUGAUUAGCUAGUUGGUGAGGUAAAGGCUCACCAAGGCGACGAUCAGUAGCUGGUCUGAGAGGAUGAUCAGCCACAUUGGGACUGAGACACGGCCCAAAAUCCUACGGGAGGCAGGAGUGGGGAAUCUAGCGCAAUGGGCGAAAGCCUGACGCAGCCAUGCCGCGUGAAUGAUGAAGGUCUUAGGAUUGUAAAAUUCUUUCACCGGGGACGAUACUGACGGUACCCGGAGAAGAAGCCCCGGCUAACUUCGUG
rnacentral:rRNA from 1 species